CCCCAUCUUUGCUUCUGGACUAGCAGAACCAUGGGAUGUUCAGGUGGACAGCUAUGGCCAAGAGUGCUACUGGCAGCUGAGAUAGAAUUAUUUGGUUUUUUUUCUUUUCUCCGUAGAAUGGGGUGAGAUGAUUUGAUGCUCUCCCAGUUUUCUCUGGACAAAAAGAGAAACCCAAAGCCCCCCCUAAAGCAGGGUGUCGACAGAGGUCAGCGGGUGGCAGCGAGAUAAAGGACGUGUGAGCUCUGUGUUGGGUGAAACAAGCAGGGGCCAUGUGAGUAAACAUCACAGUUAUCUAACACACUGCCUCUCUGCACAUGUGCAGAGUGUUCUUAUUGUUUUAGCCCAAUCCUGCUGGGCUCUACCCUGCGUUAACUGCUGUGGGUUACAUGCUGCUUGGUGUGGGGCCUCUCCCGAAUGUUUCCUUCCUUCUUUUGGGAUCCAGGAGGGUGAACAGAAGAAGCUGCUCCUGCGUUUGGGGGUUCUUUUGGAGGGGGAAAGGUGGGAGAGAGCCUUUUUCCUGACCAGCCUUGAGUCAACCCCAGGUGGGGUUGUCUCCAGGCAUCCAAGGGGAAGUUGAGCAUCCAAGGGGUUUUCCAGAGUCCCGUGUUCUGGCCAUCUUUUAGGUCCCCAGACCCUAUGAAUCCCAGGUUCCAGAGGUGGAGUUUACUGGGAGGGCCCUUGGUACUCCAUUCCCGGUCUGGAAAAGGGCCUCCCACCAAGUGACUACUUUGGAGAAAGACCUCAUAAUCAAAACCUUACCACCAAUUUGCUAGUUUGGUGGAAGGCUGGGGGGAACUCCUCAGUGUAUCCUAAUUUCUGGGUUUGUCCUGAGUUAACUUUCUCAACCUUCCUUCAGUGUCCAAUUAAACCAUUCC
rnacentral:lncRNA from 1 species